rnacentral:lncRNA from 13 species
GCAGUCAGAUAACAAGCAACUUUAUCACAAUGCUGCUUUCCCAGAUUUCUUGGCCAAGGCAACACAUCAGUCUGGAUCAGUCUCUUGGCGUUCCAUGAUGGACCGCUCUCCAAUGAUGAUUCAUAGCAGCCAUGUGAGGAAUGGAGACUUUCACACGAACUUACCCCUUAAGAAAAAAAAAACCAGCUAUGGCUGAUAACCGCAGAUAUCGGCCAGUAAAUGCAGCUUUGUCAAGCCUGCCUGCAGCACUCAACUUCUUUCUUUGGUAAAUGGCAAGGCUUCAAGAAAACAAUGCUGAACAUUCAAGAGUAAAACAACCAGUUCAUCGGAAGGAAACAGAAGGUGAUAAAGAAAUGACUGAGAAAAUGGACUUCAGAAUUAAGCUCAGGCCCAAGCCUGUGUGACUUGAGACAAAUCAUUUAACCUUUCUAUACCUCGAUUUCCUCAUUUGUAAAAGAAGAAGAAUGACAUCCACAUACUAGAGUUUGGAGACACUGAUUGUAAAUAGUGUGGUCCAGUGCCAGGCACACAGCAAGGGCUCAGUGAAUCCUAAUUCAAUCAAUUAGAACACUGUUCUGUGGGAGCAUAGGCACUGAAGCAAGUCUA